rnacentral:rRNA from 1 species
CCUACGGGAGGCAGCAGUGAGGAAUAUUGGACAAUGGAUGGAAAUCUGAUCCAGCCAUGCCGCGUGCAGGAAGACGGCCCUAUGGGUUGUAAACUGCUUUUGUAUGGGAGCAAUAAGGGCUACGUGUAGCCUGAUGAGAGUACCAUACGAAUAAGGACCGGCUAACUCCGUGCCAGCAGCCGCGGUAAUACGGAGGGUCCGAGCGUUAUCCGGAUUUAUUGGGUUUAAAGGGUGCGUAGGCGGUUUUAUAAGUCAGCGGUGAAAUUUUCCGGCUCAACCGGGAUACUGCCGUUGAUACUGUAAGGCUUGGAUAUGGUUGCUGUGGGUGGAAUGUGUGGUGUAGCGGUGAAAUGCUUAGAGAUCACACAGAAUAUCGAUUGCGAAGGCAGCUCACAAAGCCAUUAUUGACGCUGAGGCACGAAAGUGU